rnacentral:lncRNA from 1 species
AAGACGUUUAAAUAUAAUUACUAGACGGAAAGCAGCACGCGCGGAAACCAUGCAGACGAAUGGGAUUAGGCUCCGCCUCUUUUGGAUCAUUUGAAGACAAAAUAAGCUACCGAGGCGGCUUUUUGAUUGGAUAUGAGCCUCAUGAAUAUGUAUUUUAUCGAUAGUAUCGUUUAAGAAACCGGAUAAUAUAUUUGACCUCAUUGCGUCACUUUAAUUAUGCAGAUUUAUGCACGACGCUACUACACUCGCACAAACUGAGAAGAGUUAGUUCAUUGAGAAUGGAUUGAAACUAAUGAAGAGCUGGAAGGAGUUAACUGAUGAGUAGACAUUACAACAUUUCUUAUAUUUGCAAGAUGAAGCUGAAAGUCCCAUUGCAGGAUGAUGCUUCUCUACAGUGGAUGAUGAAGGCAUGCUGAUUACAAACCCAGGAGAGGAACAAAGAACAGAUAUUGACAGAAGCAUAUCUAGAGAUGCGGGCCUACUACACUUCAUACGAGCAAGUGUGCUAAUAUACAAUACUUGGGUUAUCAUCACAGCCCUUUCUUCUGAAAACUAGCCUACAACUUCAUCAAUGAAUGCAGAAGACAUCUUCAUGGGACUACGUCUUAAAGAUGCAACCCUCAUAUAAUGAAAGAGGACAUUAGAGAUGGGUUUAAACUUGAAUAUUUACAUACUAUUUAUUUAUUAUUUGUA